AACUAUAUUUAUGCUAAUGUUUGGAAAGGUAGAGGUUUCAUACUCAAAUGUACUUUUAACUUUUUUAUGUAGCUCGUAAGCGGAUUGAUUGUAGUCAGUUAAAUUAUUUCCACAAAAGAAAGUAGAGUCUGGGGUUACGUUAUUGUGGUUUAUAUAACGAUCUUCUUUUAUGAUUUUUUUUAUAAAGAUUAUUCGAAUACUGACAAAAGUUGCACUGAGUGGGCGAUGUCAAAUUGUUGUUGAUGUUGUUUGCUUGAGAGUAUGAACAGCUGCAAUCACAUGAUCUAUAAGUACCUUUAUUUUGCUUUAGCCGAACAGUUAAGUAAAUAGGCUACAUGAUAAAGAGAGAAGAAAAAAUAUUAGCAAUAUAAGAAAAUAAAUAAUAAUUAUCACACAGACAUAUAAUGAGCUAUAUUAAACAAUUGCCUAUUGUUGUUUUAAGUAUUUGUCGGCAAAAAGUACACAUACGUAGGGCUGGAGAAUAUGUGGAGUGUAGUAAGUAUAUUAGUUGUACUGCUGUAAAAACAUUGUUCGCGAUCAGAUUUCAGUAAUAAUAAAAAUUGCUAAAUUCCGCCACCUUUUUAUUCGCCAUUAAUAUGCUAAAUAAUAUUACUAAAAUUAUAAACAACAAAAAUCUCCUUCCUGAGACUGAAUGUCUCAAAAAUGUCUUUUAACAUACAUAAUAUUAUACCCGACAAUUAAUCACAUUAAUUUUAGUUUCGCAAAAAGCAUAGAACUAUUAAGUCGCGAAAUAUCAACAAUAGGAAACGCUGUCGAAAAACAACCACAUUUUUUGAUCUCUCUCAAGAGAGUUCGGUUAAAAAGUUUUUGUACGAGGCAAAACAAGUGAGAUUCAACUCCGAUGAUUAUACGAUUGUCACCUAAGUUUCACGAGGCAGCAGGUUAGGACCAACAUUACCACUACAUACCAACAACUAGAGAACUAACAAUAUAAUUAUUUGGACAUAAACACAACUAAAACUAAAAGCAAACAACCCAUUGUAUAAUCAAUAAUAAGUGUUUCUCAUCCGUACUGCAAAACCUGUACUAUCAAACCAAUACGGUCGUAGGACCGAUAAAGAUCUGAAGAUUCAACCUGUCAGAGAUGGUUCGCAUACUAACCAUUGUGAGGGAACGCACAAGAUUGUUGAGACAAUCUCAAUUUCAUCGUACUGAUAUGUCAUUUCUGCGAUAGUAUUUUCUUUUAUUGAAUUUAGUUCAGAUUAUGUUA